rnacentral:rRNA from 2 species
CCUGGCGGCCUUAGCGCGGUGGUCCCACCUGACCCCAUGCCGAACUCAGAAGUGAAACGCCGUAGCGCCGAUGGUAGUGU